rnacentral:sRNA from 1 species
UGGACAGGGGGGUCCCCGCUACCCGGUGGGGCCUGUCCGGCAGGUUGCGCGAAGUGCCUGAAGGCGCAGCCAGUGGUUGUCGCUCGGGGGUGAUCGCCG